UAUCGAGUUCAAGAGGCAACGCAUAGAGACGACUUUGGGCAGUUGACUUGGAGUCUCCAAAGUAGCCUUCAACUGGGGAGUGCCGGAGAACAGGGUAAUCAAUGCCACUGCCUCGACACAGCUUGUAGGGGUAGCCUACGCAGCAAUUAACAAAUUAUUUCUUCAGAAGUUAGGCAUCAUGAAGCGGGCUUCUUCCUCGGCCUCGCUCGCACUCGUCCUGUCGAUCGUGGCUAUGGUUUGCUUCUCCCUGCCAUGCUCUGCCCUUCAAGCUAGCAAGGAGACUCCGUACGGUGAGGCCCAAGGAGGCCGUCAACCAUGGAAGCCUCUGCCGCCGGGCUGUCCGGAGUGCCUCUAUCGCAACGGUGAUAUGCCGCCGCCAUCUGCUGCUGCCAUGGCGGCACCGGCACUCACGCCGUACCGAAAGUGCCCGCGCGACACUAGGAACUGAACGCCGUCCCAAUUAAGCUGAUGUGUGCAAUGAAACUAGCAAUUCCAUGAGCCGCUAUAGUGAUCGCUCUUUGUUUGUUUGUUUAUUUGUGCUUUGUACUACUUCCACCGGCGGAAAUGCUUACUGUUCCUGUGCGUGUGCCAAUCUUGAGUCUUAGCAAAUUCCUCUUAUUAACCAGGAGCUGAAUGCCGUCUUAAUCAAGAUGAUGCAAGCAAUGAGAACUAUCGGUUCCACACCCGAUCCAAUGA